AUCCAGCUGGGAGACGAGUGUCAAAUAGGACGAAAUGCACAUCCUGGAU
rnacentral:hammerhead_ribozyme from 1 species